GUAUCAGAAGUGCGAAUGCUGACAUAAGUAACGAUAAAGCGGGUGAAAAGCCCGCUCGCCGGAAGACCAAGGGUUCCUGUCCAACGUUAAUCGGGGCAGGGUGAGUCGACCCCUAAGGCGAGGCCGAAAGGCGUAGUCGAUGGGAAACGGGUUAAUAUUCCCGUACUUGGUGUUACUGCGAAGGGGGGACGGAGAAGGCUAUGUUGGCCGGGCGACGGUUGUCCCGGUUUAAGCGUGUAGGUGUGUGUUCCAGGUAAAUCCGGUUCACUUUAACACUGAGGCGUGACGACGAGGCACUACGGUGCUGAAGCAACAAAUGCCCUGCUUCCAGGAAAAGCCUCUAAGCAUCAGGUAACAUCAAAUCGUACCCCAAACCGACACAGGUGGUCAGGUAGAGAAUACCAAGGCGCUUGAGAGAACUCGGGUGAAGGAACUAGGCAAAAUGGUGCCGUAACUUCGGGAGAAGGCACGCUGACACGUAGGUGAAGUGAUUUACUCAUGGAGCUGAAGUCAGUCGAAGAUACCAGCUGGCUGCAACUGUUUAUUAAAAACACAGCACUGUGCAAACACGAAAGUGGACGUAUACGGUGUGACGCCUGCCCGGUGCCGGAAGGUUAAUUGAUGGGGUCAGCGCAAGCGAAGCUCCUGAUCGAAGCCCCGGUAAACGGCGGCCGUAACUAUAACGGUCCUAAGGUAGCGAAAUUCCUUGUCGGGUAAGUUCCGACCUGCACGAAUGGCGUAAUGAUGGCCAGGCUGUCUCCACCCGAGACUCAGUGAAAUUGAACUCGCUGUGAAGAUGCAGUGUACCCGCGGCAAGACGGAAAGACCCCGUGAACCUUUACUAUAGCUUGACACUGAACAUUGAGCCUUGAUGUGUAG
rnacentral:rRNA from 2 species